rnacentral:rRNA from 1 species
UGGGGAAUAUUGCACAAUGGGGGAAACCCUGAUGCAGCAACGCCGCGUGAGUGAAGAAGUAUUUCGGUAUGUAAAGCUCUAUCAGCAGGGAAGAAAAUGACAGUACCUGACUAAGAAGCCCCGGCUAACUACGUGCCAGCAGCCGCGGUAAUACGUAGGGGGCAAGCGUUAUCCGGAUUUACUGGGUGUAAAGGGAGCGUAGACGGCUGUGCAAGUCAGAAGUGAAAGCCCGGGGCUCAACCGCGGGACUGCUUUUGAAACUGUGUAGCUGGAGUGCAGGAGAGGUAAGUGGAAUUCCUAGUG